rnacentral:lncRNA from 1 species
CGGGGAAUGGCUUGGAACCCGGCUGGAGGCAGAUUCGCGGGUUGAUAUUGCGAUCCCCAGAAUCGCAGGUGCCCAUAAAUGUGAAUCCCGCGUAGAAUCUCACGGGCUUCAAGCGCAGAGGUUAUGGAAAAAGGAUGCGCAGUCUCGUUCUGAGGCACGAGAGGCGCAUUGACAGAAACCUCUUCAAAAGACCCCUCGUCAGUAUCACAGAGGGGCAGCAUUCUGAUCUCACCAUCCGGCAAAGUUUCACAAUGUGCGUAGCCGGUGUGGUUCUCAACUCCCUCGUAGAAUGGGAGGUUCACAUGAUCUCCGUCCUUAUCCAUUUCCAUAGGAGGAGGAGGAGUGUUCGAUCUCUCAUCGCGGCUUCGACUCGGGCCGCGUUCAAUUGGAAUGUCCUGAGUAUAGUCAAAGGGCUCAGGCACCCUUACAUCCUCCGCAGAGGGGAAGUGUAUCUUUCCUCUACCACCCAUCCCAUAAAUAUGAGGAAUGGGGGCGCUCGUGUUGUCAGGCUUGUCGGAAGAGUCCCUAGCAUAUUUAGGGUGCUUCCUCUUUCUCUUCUUUGGCCUCUCAGAUUCAUUGUCCGGCCUGUUAACAUCCACCACCUCAAUAGGUGGAAAAUCUUCAACUUCAGCCCCCGAGUUUAGGGGCAACAUCGGCGAUUUAGGUACUGAACUCGCCGAUGUUUGUGCGGAACUCGCUGAUCCCAGUGUAAUCACUCGGCGAGGUUUCUUGAAUGUGGGGACACCCCCCUUGCCUUUAAUCGACGACUUCCCAAGGGGACUCGCCGAUUUAAUUGCAAGACUCGGGGGAAUCUCGCCCAGUUCAGUAGAAGGCUCUACCACGACCAGAGCCCUCGAGUUAUCCGUCAAACUCGCCGAGUUCUUUUGGGAACUCGGCGAGCUCUCAGGAGUCAGCCCGAGCAAUUCGCGGGCAGUAGCCAAAAACCUGACGUUUUAUGGCGCGUCGACAACCGGAAUCUCCGACCCACCGCGCGAAGGCGAGGGAAUCGGAGACUCGACGGUAUCGAGCACCCCCGUCAGGCCUUCAUCGAUAUCUUCGUUCAAAAUAUCGGCGACCAGAGCUUCGGUCACCGACAUGGUCAGUCUGGGUAGAGACGGUUCGUCUGCCAUAAGUCGGCGAUUUAAAGGUAGACUCGGCGACUUGGUUCAAAGAUCUGGUGAUUGUGAUGAAAGUCGGCGAGUUAUGAAGAAGCUCGGCGACUUAGAAAGGGAUUGGGGUUUAAGCAAAAUCAGGGUAAGUGAAAUGCGGAUUAAAAUAGCCGACUCACUAUUUAUAGACCCUGGGUAAAUUGCAAAAAUUCCCCAGAGAAUCUACGAAUUACGCGAAGAAAAAUCGCUAAUUGAUCUCCAAAUCCGCAAACUCGGCGAGUCUCUCGCAAACUCGCCGAGUUUGAGCAUAAAACACGGGAUACGAGGAGGAAAUUUCCGUACUUGGAAAAUUUGCAAAUAUUUCCCAAGAUCCUAUGGAUUCUCGAAGAGAUCCGCCAGCUCAUACUAAGACUCGUCGAGUUUAUAGGAAAAUCGCCGAUCCAGGUCAGCGAACCUCUAGGUUUCUCAAAAAAUACCUCCAAUGCUAAGUCGGGCGAGUUAACAACUUAAGUCGCCGACUUAGGAUAUACACAGUAUAUUAGGGGGAAAAUCACAAGCCCCCUUCCACAACUUCAGGGGAGAGUAUCACAAGCUCUCCCGACAUGUCUAUCGCUUUGGCUAGAGAUUGUCAAACCUCAGGGGGGAAUAUCACAAGCUCUCCCGACAUUUCUAUCGCCUUGGCUAGAAAUCGUCAAAACUCAGGAGGGAGUAUCACAAACUCUCUCGACUUUUCUGUCGCUCCGGCCGAAAAUUGUCAAAAUUCGGGGGGGAGUAUCACAAGCUCUCCCGACAUUUCUAUUCGCUUUGGCUAGAGAUCGUCAAAACUCAGGGGGGAGUAUCACAAGCUCUCCCGACACUUCUGUCGCUUCGGCCGGAAAUUGUCAAAAUUCAGGGGGGAGUAUCACAAGCUCUCCCGACAUUUCUAUCGCUUUGGCUAGAGAUCGUCAAAACUCAAAGGGGAGUAUCACAAACUCUCUCGACUUUUCUGUCGCUCCGGCCGGAAAUUGUCAAAAUUCAGGAGGGAGUAUCACAAGCUCUCCCGACAUUUCUAUCGCUUUGGCUAGAGAUCGUCAACACUCAGGGGGGAGUAUCACAAGCUCUCCCGACACUUCUGUCGCUCUGGCCAGAAGUCGUCAUAUAUAAACACGGUCAGUCUGUCGCUUCGGCCAGAUUCACCGAGGAUUGGUUAAAGUAAGGAAAAGAGUAUCGCAAGAGGUAUUUUCGGUCAAUAAUCAUAUGCGUUUUCAGACUGAUCUAGUUGUUUUGCAGGAUAUUUUCUUUUGUUGUUUUGCAGAUAUUAUUCUGUCGCUUUGGCCAGAAUAUUUUUCUUUUUUGCAGGUAUUAUUCUGUCGCUUUGGCCAGAAUAAGACUCUAAUAGUGAGUCCAAGUAUCUUGUCGCAUUCUUCCUUGAUACACUAGAGAUCGUUCUGUCGCUUUGGCCUUAACGAUUCUCAACCCAUCUUGUCACUAAAAAGCCUUGAAGGGGGCCGUCGUUGCGGACUUUUAGUCGCUCUUAAUCAGAGUGGACUAUAAACAUUAGUUCUAUCGCUUCGGCUAGAACUUGGUUCUAUCGCUUCGGCUAGAACUUGGUUCUAUCGCUCUGGCAAGAACCCGAUUAUGUCGCUAAAUAGCCUUAAUCGAUUCCGUCGCUUUGGCCGGAAUUUAUCUUGUCGCUUCGGCCUCGAUAACACAGUGCAGUCGCACUUGAUCAGGGAAGGACUAUAAACAUGAGUUACCGUGGCCUGGAACUCGAUCCAUUCUUGUCGCUUUGGCCUAUGGAUUCUGAAUCAUUACGUCACUGUGGGCGGAUGAUUCGAUCUCAUCUUGUCGCUUUGGCCUUGGUGCUGGAUCAAACACUUUGAACCUUACUUGACGGGGGGGGGGUACUGGCCUGGUGGUACACCAUGUUUCUUGUGCUCUCUUCAGGGGGAAGUACUGGUGAGACAUGCCUGAUUACACCAGUCACUACCCAUCAACGCCUCUCAACAAGGACUAGGGCUCCGUCGCUAUGGCAGGACCCCCGGAGAGCUCCCACGGUGCGGAACACGUUCAUCGUCCAGAUCGCCGAGUUAGCCCGUAAGUCGCCCGAUUGGACUACCAAGUCGCCGACAUACAGGAUAACUCGCCGAGUUAAGGCAAGAUCGGCAGUAUGGUAGAAUGCACAUCUUGGCCCUAGAAACUCGCCGAGUUAGCCCUUAACUAGGCGACUUCCAUACCUGAAUCGGCGACUUACGACCGUUACUCGGCGGCAACCAACGUCAUAAAUGUUACCAUAUAUGACCAUAGGCACGAUCUCCGCCGAUGAGUGCGCCCUCCGAGACCCUAUAAAAGGGGUCCCAAGGGGACACUCAAAGGCACGAUUCAAGUUCCACUCUCACACCAGAGCACUACACUACGAAACUCGGCGAGUCUCAUUAGAAUCGCCUAGUUUCCACUUGCAGGUAUUUGACGUAGAGCGUGCGUCGUGGACUCCAAAGCCUCCGGCAUUACCUCGCACCACCGCGAGCCCUGGUAACGAAAAUCGGAAUUCCCAGAUCCGAUUUUGGGUUCUGAGACCACAUAUCACGUGAAAAAAGUUUUCUCUAUGAGUACCAAAGAGCAGAAUUUCCCAAGAGUGCCAGGAAUCUUUCCCAAGAGCAGAAUUUCCCACGGUGCGGAACAAGUGUCUACGUCAAGUACUCAAGGCAACACCUGGGAAUCGCCGUCUGAGACUACCAAGUUGCCGAUUGCAGAGGUGCAUCGUCGACUUCAGACAGGGCAAUCAGGUCUGGUAGACCGAGGACCUGACCUCAAGGGAGUCGGCGACUCCACCUCAGAAUCGGCGACUCCCAUGCGUUACUUGAGAGGGCCCACGUUAUUAUAGCACCCUUAAGUGGGUACUAUAAUGGGGUGGGCCCCACUCUAAUGAAUGGGGAAACGCCCCCAGGACCCCUAUAAAAGGGGUGUCCUCCAUUCUCACCUUCACUUGACCUACAACACUUCCCACUAGAGCAAUCCAGGAGCCCGAAUCGCUUACUCCCCAAGUGAGUCGCCAAUUCCCUCCUCUUCUGCAGGUAUUUGACGAAGAGCGCGCGUCGUGGACUCCAGAGCCUCCGGCAUUACCUCGCACCACCGCGAGCCCUGGUAACGAAAAUCGGAAUUCCUAGAUCCGAUUUUGGGUUCUGAGAUCACAUAUCACGUGAAAAAAGUUUUCUCUACGAGUACCAAAGAGCAGAAUUUCCCAAGAGUGCCAGGAAUCUUUUCUGGGAUAGGUCUAAACAGGCAUCCCUAAAACAACCUCCGGCGCCACGAUUUUCUGCCGAAAAAUUGCAAAAAAUUUGCAACAUUUUUUGCUAAUUUCAAACUUUGGGGACUGGUAGUAUUCCUCAAGGGGGCCACAAAACUGCAAAGAAAUAUCAUACAAAAAAAAUUUCUGUUUUGUGACACUCGGGGGGGUAGGUACCUACACAUAGCUUCCGACACUUCGGAAGAACUUCUACUCGUUGUCUGUUUUUUCAGCACGAUAGAAGCAACUAUCCCAUUUAUGGCUCCUAUUACUAAGGGUCAGAAGAAAGCUCUUACUACUGCUACGACGGUAAGAGCUUCUAGAAGAAGGGCUGGUUCCCGCAUUGUACCAGCCUCUAAUGCACCAUCGUCUGCACAUGAGGUGCCCUCAUCACUCCCGCUAGGAAGUGCAGCACCACCCAGACCAAGUGGGGGAAUAAACCCAACUCCCACAAUGCAGGAGAAGCUUGCACAUAUGCAUACUCUCAUGCUGAAGUUGGACCAAAGGUUGACUAACAUAGAAGAUUCAAGGAGCCGGAUCACCAUGCGAAGUGCGACAAGCGAGUCUAACCCACAUUUGAGGAAGACAAACUUAAGUACACAUCGUCGAUCUGAAUCAAGGAUAUCCAAGGAGCUUCGAGAGCUCAAGGGAAAGGGUCCUGCAAUCUCAAAACAACCCAAAUCCAACUCGCAUCACUCUCCUAAGGGAGACAACCACGGUAGAACAAAGAGACACAAGCAUCUCGGUUCUCACCACAGGUCCGAAGUACAUCACUCGGGCGUACCUUCGACUUCCACGACUCGUGCGGAUUACGAUGCCACACUCAUGAAUAGGGUAAUCAAGGAAGUGCUUCGUAAAGACAAACAUGAUCUAAGGGACCCACAUGAUUUUCUCAGAAUAGGAAAGGCACCCUUUCGUAGGGACCUCCUGAGAAAACCUUUUCCGCAAUCUUGGCGGUGUCCGAAGAUAGACUCGUACGAUGGAACAACAGAUUCAGAGGAUCAUGUCAACCUCUACCUGAAUAUCUUGGAGCCGCAAACUACUGGUAAUGGGUUGUUGUGUCGGGCCUUCCCCGACACUCUGAAAGGCAACGCGUAUCGAUGGUUUUCAAGUCUACCAGCUGGCUCAGUCACCAGCUUCGCAAACCUCUCUGCAAAGUUCAUCGCCCAACGUGUGGGGUUGAUCAGAAUAAAGCACAACGCCAAUACACUACUGGCACUGUGGCAGAGGGAUAUGUCCCUUCGGGACUACACAAUUAAGUUCACUUCGAUGAUGACAGAAGUGAAAAACUUAAUCCCAAGUCUAGCCAUAGCGGGGUACAUCAGAGGGUUGAUACCCUUCUCCCCAUUGGCUCAAAAUCUGGGGCUCCAUAAAGUGGAGACCUUAGCUGAACUCUUCCAUAGAGCUCAAUCGUACAUUGAGAUAGAAGAGGAGGACAACGACAAACUGGACGGACUCGAGCCGCCCAGUCGGAAGAAGCCUCGCUAUGCUAAAGAAGAUACAUACGAGGAUACAAGUUCCCGGUCCGAAACCUCGACUAGUCUUCGGGUAGCAGUUAUGGCUACCAAAGUCAUAGCUCACGCCCUCAAUCCGUUAGCAGUUAUGGCCAUCAAAGUCGUAGUUCACACCAUCAAUCCUGUAGCUGUUAUGACACCAAAGUCAUAACUCACACUCUCAGUCUGGUAAUAUUUAUGGCCACCAAAGCCAUAGAUUACGCUCUCAAUCCUAUGACAGUGAUGGCAACCAGAGCAACAGUUCACACUCACAAUCAAGUGCGUCACGCUAAUGGUAAGGAACUAUCAUCUGUCAGAAGAAAGAUAGGAUUGGCCAGAGUAACCAGAUAGGCUAUGCAUCCGUCAGUGGUAACCAAACAUCAAAGGACCGAACUCAUCUAUUCUUUUGGUUGUCGCUUCUAUUAUUCUCAACCAUGUAAUAGAGAUAUGAUGUCUCCUUUAACCCAUUGAGAUACUCUGCAAUAUGUAUGCCAUAUCAUAUUUAGAAUAAUCAUCCAUCACUUCAGACGGAUCAAUCACCCAUCGCUUCGGCUGGGUGACAUCCGUCGCUUCGACCUUAUCUAUCAUCUAUUCGACCCACGAGUCAAAGUGAUAGUUACGAAAUCUAAUUUACGACAGAGUCUAAAUUACGAUUACAAGUCUAGUUUACGAUUUACGAGUCCAAGGUGCGACUUAAGAAUCUAAAUUACGACUCCCACGAAUAUUUGCGAAUCAAACCCUAAGAUUCCAAAUAUUUACGAAUCUAAGUUCUCUUUCAAAAUCUAAUUUACGACAAAGAGUCUAAAUUACGAUUACAAGUCUAGUUUACGAUUUACGAGUCCAAGGUGCGACUUAAGAAUCUAAAUUACGACUCUCACGAAUAUUUGCGAAUCAAACCCUAAGAUUCCAAAUAUUUACAAAUCUAAGUUCUCUUUCAAAAUCUAAUUUACGACGUACAAGUCUAAAUUACGAUGAAAAGUGACUACACCUAUGAUUUUUUGCAAUUCUGAGUUGGUUUGGGAAUUGUCUGCGAAUCUGACUGACGGUUGAAUUACGACUCUUAAUUACAACCAAGCUUACGGCCAGAGUGCCUAAGUGGGGGUUACACAACCUAACUUACGUCCAGAGUGGCUAAGUGGGGGUUACAAAAUAUAGUUUACGACCGGAGUGUCUAAAUUACGAUUUACAAGUCUAAUUUAGGUUACGGUUCUAGGACUAUUCAUACGACAAAUCGACAAAGGAUAAUUUCAAAAAUCACUCAUACGGAUCACUCCAUUGCUUUGGCUGGAUGACACCCGUUACUCAUUCCUGGCUUACGACCCACGAGUCUAAGUGAUGGUUACAAAUUCUAAUUUACGACAAAGAGUCUAAAUUACGAUCACCAAUCUAGUUUACGGUUUACGAGUCCAAGGUGCGACUUAAGAAUCUAAAUUACGACUUUCAUUUACGAAUCUAACCCCGAGAUUCUAAAUUUACGACUACAAUCAGUGAUACCCUGGUUUUAAAUCUAUUCUGUCGCUAUGGCCUUAAUAGAGCAAGGAUCAUUUUGUCGCUUUGGCCUAAAUGAUCAUAUCCCAUCUUGUCGCUAUUGCCUUGAUGAGGAUCGAGAUUCGUUCUGUCGCUAUGGCCGGAGCUUGGCUAAAACACCAGGGUUCAAAUCUAGAAUUGUAGUCUUAAAUUGCGGGUCUAACCCUAGGAUUCCAAAUAAUAUUGUGCAUCUUAAUUUUUGGUUUAUUAUUUGUACUAUUCUUUGCAACUCUGCGUUAAUUUGGAGAUAUAAAUUAUCCGCAAAUUUAACGGACGACUGAACUACGAUUCGUACGACCAAGCUUACGUCCAGAGUGGCUAAGCGAGGGUUAGCUGAGUCUAACUUACGUCCAGAGUGGCUAAGUUACGGCUUGUGAAUCUAGUUUUGAGCCUAGGUUACAAUUUAAAGGUGGUUUAUAUGGAAGAUUGGCAAAGAAAAGACAAAAGGUAGUCCAUUGAUAAUCAAAAUAGAAAGAUUGCAAAAUAUUUCAAAAAUUCAUAUGUCACGACGACAUGAUUCUCGGGGGGAAUAUCACAAGCUCUCUCCAAUACUUCCGUUACACCAAUAUUUUAAAAUCUGUCAUGUUGACAUGAUUUUCGAGGGGAGUAUCACAAGCUCUCUUCAAUACUUCUAUCGCUUCGAGCAGAAACAUCCAAAACAUAACUCUAAAAUCUGUCACAACUGCACGAUUUCAGGGGGAGUACCACAAACUCUCUCUGCCGCUUCUGGCGCUCCGGCCGGAAGUCGUCACGCCCAUCUUUGGAGGUGAGUAUCACAAACUCUCCCGACACUUCUGUCACUUCGGACAGAAGUUGUCAUAUUUCGAGGGAGAGUAUCACAAACUCUCCCGACACUUCUGUUGCUUCGGCCAGAAGUCGUCACACUUCGAGGGGGAGUAUCACAAGCUCUCCCGACACUUCUGUCGCUUCGGCCAGAAGUCGUCAAGUUUCGGGGGGAGUAUCACAAGUACUCCCGACGCUUCUGUCGCUUUGGCCAGAAGUCGUCACAAUGCGGGGGGGAGUAUCACAAGCUCUCCCCAACACUUCUGUCGCUUCGGCCAGAGGUCAUAACAUUUCGGGAAGAGUAUCACGAACUCUCUCAUACACUUCUGUCACCUCGGCCAGAAGUUGUCACAGUUCAAGGGGGGGUAUCACAAGCUCUCCCGACACUUCUGUCGCUUCUGCCAGAAGUCAUCACAGUUCAAGGGGAGUAUCACAAGCUCUCCCGACACUUCUGUCAUUCGGUCAGAAGUCGUCACAGUUCUAGGAAGAGUAUCACAAGCUAUCCCGAUACUUCUGUCGCUUCGGCCAGAAGUCGUCACAGUUCGAGGGGGAGUAUCACAAACUCUCCCGGCACUUCUAUCGCUCCAGCCGGAAGUUGUCGAAUAUGAGCACGGUAAAUCUGUCGCUUUGGCCAGAUUAUCGAGGAUUUAUCGAGCAAGAGGAGGAGUAACACGAAAGGUAAUAAGUCAAUAUAAUAUGCGUUUUAGACUGCUGAUGUUUACUUUUUUGCAGGUGAGAUUCUAACGCUUUGGCCAGAAUCGGAUCUAUUUUGUUGCUUUGGCCAUAAUAGAUCCAGGUCCAUUUUGUCACUUUGGCCUUAAUGGACCAAAAAUUAUUUUGUCGCUUUGGCCCUAAUAAUUCUUCUAUCUUGUCGUUGUGGCCUUGAUAGACUUGGAGAUCAUUUUGACGCUUUGACCUUAAUGAUCUCGACCCACUUUGUCGCUUCGGCCUUGGUGGGGUAACCGUCGUUGCGGACACAAAAGUCGCUCUUGAUCAGGGUUGACUAUAAACAUUAAUUCUAUCGCUUUGGCUAGAACUAAAUUCUGUCGCUUUGGCCAGAAUCAAAUCCAUUUUGUCGAUUUGGCCUUAAUGGACCGGGAAUUAUUUUGUCGCUUUGGCCUUAAUAUUUCUCCCAUCUUGUCGAUUCGGCCUUGAUGACACAACAAAAGUCGCCCUUGAUCAGGGUUGGACUAUGGUGAGACAUGCCUGAUUACGUCAGUCACUCUCAGCAACGCCCUUCAAACAAGAAAUAGGGUUCCGUCGCUAUAUGCCGGACCCCCGGAAGGCUUCCACGGUGCAGAGCAUGUGUAUACGUCAAGAGCCCAAGGCAACACUUGAGAUUCGCCGACUGGGACUAUCAAGUCGCCGACUCCAUAGGUGUAUCGCCGAUUCCGGCCAGGGGACUCAGGUCUGGUAGACCGAGAACUGGGCUUCAAAGGAAUCGGCGACUCCACCUCUGGAUCGGCGACUCCCACACCUGAGUCACCGACUCCCAGCCGUUACGCGGGCGGGCCCACACCAUUAUGACACCCUUCAAUAGGAUAUCAUAAUGGGGUGGGCCCCACUCAAUUGAAUGGAAACGCCUCUAGGACCCUAUAAAAGGGGUCCUAGGGGUGUCCUCCAUCCAUAUCUUCUUCACUUGACUCACACUCCACACUAGAGCAUCCAGGAGCCUGGAUCGCCUACUCCCAAGUUAGUCGCCGAUUCCCCUCCUCUUCUGCAGGUGUUUGACGUAGAGCGCGCGUCGUGGACUCCACAGCCUCCGGCCCAUCUCGCCACCCCGCGAGCCCACUGGUAGUAGAUUCCGUGCUUCAUCAGCUGGCGCCGUCUGUGGGACUAUCGAACCACGAUAUCCCAUCGUAAUUGCGAAAUUUUCUUCGCAAAGUUCAGCUCGAUUCCCCUAGGGUGAGUCGCUAACUUUAUGUCAAGGAAUCGUCGAUUCACACAGGCAAUCGCCGACUCCACCUAGUGAGUCUCCAAUUGCGGGUUAUUCUGCUAGCUAAGAGUACUGUCCAUGGCCAGACUCGAAAGAAGAGCUACCUAAAGCAGUCACCGAUUCUACUAGUGUACGUCGCCGAUUCCACCGUUGUGAAUCGCCGACACCCAUAGUGAAUCGUCGACUCCACUUGGUUCUUUCUCUCGGGUUAGUUCUAGCAAGCACUUGCGCUCUAGUUGGAACACGCUUUUGUCUACAAUGACCUCCGAAAGGCAAAAGCACGACUACCAUCUGAGGACCAAAGGCAAAUCCUCAAUAGUAGCUGACAGGGCUCAGACUGACCCUCCUCAAGAAAACAGGCAGGAAAGGCCUGAGGAACCUCAAGCCAGUCUGCGCCCUCAAACAUCCAUCCCUCCCGCUUUAGAAGAGAGGUUGGUCAAAUUCAUGGAUAACAUGGAACAAAGGGUCAACAACCUCGAGAAAGCAAGGAGCCAGAGGACCGUUUCCCGCGAAGGAGCGGGUGAAUCAGCCUCUCAUAAUUCUCCAUCUGGGGAGAAAAAGAAGGAUGGUCCAGAGCCUUCAAAAUCAAAGGCUGGACCUAGUAAGAGUCACACUGAAAAGACUCUUACAACACGGUUUGUGGAAGACCUUCGUCGGAAGUUGGCAGGCAACCCAGCCGCCAGCGGUCCGAUGGAAUUUUUGAGAAUCAAAAGUGCUCCUUUUCGAGAGGACCUUUUGAAGGUAUCUUUUCCGCAAACCUGGCGGGUACCAAGGAUAGAAGCGUACGAUGGUUCGGGUGAUCCAAGAGAUCACAUCAACCUCUACCUUAGUGUCUUGGAACCGCAAACCAUCGAUAACGCAUUGUUGUGCCGGGCAUUCCCUGGCACUCUCAAGGGAAGUGCCUAUCGAUGGUUCUCCGGUCUACCAGCUGGGUCAAUCUCCAGUUUUACGGACCUCUCAUCCAAAUUCAUCGCCCAACACGUGAUGAUGAUUAGGAUCAAACACAGUGCCAACGCACUGCUGGCACUACGACAGAACAAGCUGUCGUUGAGGGAUUACACUAUCAAGUUUACUUCAAUGAUGACAGAAGUGAGCGAUUUAAUCCCAAGUCUGGCCAUAGCGGGAUACACAAAAGGGCUAGUACCCUACUCCCCUCUGGCCCAGCAUCUCACUCUCCAUAAGGUGGAAACUCUACCUGACCUCUUCCAGCAAGCCCAAUCGUUUAUUGAGGUGGAAGAGCAGAAUGAGAAUAAGCUAGUGGAACUUGAGAACACUAGCUUCAAAAAACCAAAGUUCGAGAAAAAGAGCUACGGCGGAAAAAACAGUUUCCGAGGCUCUUCGAACAAAUACACUGACAAUGCGGCUAGUUCCUACAAAACAGUCUCAAAGGGUGAACUUGGAAACUUCGUCAAGGGAUCCCGAAGACGAGACGGUUGUAAAACUGACCCGAAGGGGAAGCGUCCACGCUCUCCUUCGCCGGACAGCGACAGUAGCGAGGAUCGCCAACGGAAAACCAUCAAUAUGAUAUUUGGUGGUGGAUCCGUUGGUCAGAACAGAGGUUACUCCCGGAAGGUGCUGAUGUCACAGUCUACACCUCGCGACAAUGGGAAAAGGGCUCGGGAAGAGAAGUCCACUUACUUCUCCGAAGAGGACCUGGACGAUGUCCUGCUACCCCACGAGGAUCCACUCAUGAUCCAAGCAGACAUCGGUCCAACAUCCCGUGUCGAGAGGAUGAUUGUCGACAGCGGCAGUUCCGCGGACAUCCUCUACAUGGACACCUUCAUCAAAAUGGGCCUUAGAAGGAGGAUCUGUCUCCUUGCAAGGAAGCCAUUUACGGAUUUACUAACGUCGCCGCCCCAGUGGCCGACGUUAUUGACUUGAAGGUCUCCAUCGGAUCCCGAAAGGGAAGGGUUAGUCGAACAUGCCAUUUCAUAGUGGUGGAAGUGGAAUCCACUUUUCUAGGCAUCUUUGGACGACCCUUCAUCCACGGGAUCAAAGCUGUCCCAUCUUCUUAUCACCAAUGCAUAUGAUACCCAAUCAACGGGAUCAUUGCAACUGUCAAAGGAUCACAAAAGGAUUCUAGACAAGGGUAUAAAAAGGCAACUCAGCUGGUUAAACUAAACAGUAUGCUCGUCCACGCCCCACCUGACAACGGGGAAAGGGAAAAAUUGCAACCCGUGGAUGAGACUAAAAUGUACCAGCUGAAAGGGGGGCACGUGGCAUUAAGGAAAGGGUUAGACCCCAACCUAAGAGCCAAGCUUGUGACUGUCCUGGAGGAGCACCAGGACAGGUUCGUUUGGGAGGGUGAGGCUCCGACACAGAUUGCGCGUCAAAUCGUGACGCACAAACUUAAUGUCGACCCAUCUAUCCCAGCUCGUCGCCAAAAGCGUCGAGUGCUCACCUCUGACAGGCGGGAGGCCGCCAACGAAGAGAUAUCGAAACUUCUGAGUGCCGGGCACAUUCGAGAAGUUCGAUAUCCAACUUGGUUGGCCAACCCCAUUCUCGUCAAGAAGCCCAAUGGCAAGUGGCGUAUGUGCAUUGAUUUCACAGAUCUCAAUAAAGCAUGCCCCAAGGACAGUUACCCGCUCCCAUCCAUCGACGAGUUAUUCGACAGAGCGUCUGAUAACGAACUCCUCUCCAUGAUGGAUGCCCACUCAGGAUAUAACCAAAUCCUGAUGCAUGAGCCUGAUGAAGAGAAAACAUCCUUCAUUACGGACUCAGGGACAUUCUGUUAUCGAGUAAUGCCAUUCGGCCUAAGGAAUGCUGGAGCUACAUUCCAACGCUUAAUGGACAAGGUUUUCGCGGACCAGAUCGGGCGCAAUGUUUCCGCUUAUGUUGAUGACAUCUUGGUCAAAUCAACAAGCGUCGAAAAGCACCCCGAGGAUCUGAGAAAAACCCUUAGGACAUUAAAGCAAUACGGAAUGAAGCUUAAUCCAAAUAAGUGUUCCUUCGGGAUCAAGGAAGGUAAGUUCCUUGGUUUCUACGUGGUUCAGCACGGGAUUAAACCAAAUCCCGACAAAAUCCAAGCGAUAUUCGAUAUGGAAGCCCCCCGCACAAUUAGAGAAGUACAAAGGUUGAACGGGCGAAUCAAUGCACUCAGUCGUUUCAUAUCGCAAACGGCUGACAAAUGCAAACCGUUCUUCCAACUACUAAAAACUGCGGCUAAGGGUAGUAUCACUUGGACACCGGAAUGCGAGGAGGCUUUUACCAUGUUAAAAGCACACAUGUCCUCUCUUCCAAUGCUGACCUCACCUAGGGAUGGGGAAGACCUGUACUUAUACAUAGAAGCCUCAGAAGAGGCCGUAAGUGCAGUCCUUAUCGCACAAAGAGAUAAGGAACAAGUCCCCAUCUACUAUCACUCGAGGCGACUACAAGGAGCAGAGAUACGAAUUUCUCCGAUUGAGAAAAUCGUAUACGCUGUAAUCCAUGCUUGUCGUCGCUUUCGAGCGUAUUUCUUAGCGCAUACGAUUGUAGUACUUACAUCGUGUCCCCUACGCCGUCUACUCCACAAGCCAGACAUAUCGGGUAGGUUAACCAAAUGGGUCAUUGAGCUCAGUGAGUUCGAUUUGGAUUUCCGACCAGCCACUGCCAUCAAGGGGCAAGCUGUGGCAGAUUUCAUGGUCGAACUCACACCAUCGAACCUAGCCCAACCAUGAACUGUGGAAGUAGACGGGUCGAGUUGCAGCACAGGUUCAGGUAUCGGAGUGAAAAUCCAUAGUCCAGAUGGAAAAAACUAUGAACACUCGAUACGGCUCCACUUCUCGGCAUCAAACAAUGUCGCGGAAUACGAAGCAACCAUUCAUGGCCUAAAACUGUUGCGAACUCUCGGCGCUGAGAAAGUCACGCUUCGCACUGACUCCCAGCUCGUGGCUCGACAAACCACGGGUGAGUUCGCCUGCAAAGAACCACAGAUCACAAAAUAUGUGGAAACCAUGGUAGAACUCACCAAACAAUUCGCUGAGUUUAAAAUUGAGCAAAUUCCUCGAACUCAGAACACACCAGCCGAUGCUCUAGCAAGGCUAGCAUCAGCCUGGGAGGGAGGCCAGCGUGAAAUAUUGGUAGACUCUGUACUCCAGCCCUCGUGCCAGGUAUUGAAUGUCACAUCCGACCCCUCAAAAGAUUGGAGACAACUAAUACUGGCAUUCAUUCAAAGUGGUGUACUUUCCGAUAAUAGGGGUGAGGCCAAAAAGUUGCAACACAAAGCAGCCAAGUACGGCGAAGUCGGAGGGGUACUUUAUAAAAAGUCCUUCGACAGCCCGUUGUUACGCUGUUUGGCCAAACCCGAUACUGAUAAGGUCAUUAAGGAAGUACACGAAGGCUCGUGCGGACUCCAUGAGGGAGGAAGAGCACUAGCCUUCAAAAUCAUACAGCUGGGGUAUUAUUGGCCCACAUUACGGUUAGAAGCUCGCACUUAUGUCCGCAAGUGCCGUGCAUGCCAGUUGCAUAGCCCAAUGCAACAAAAACCAUCCGCGGACAUGACUCCGAUCUUGAGCUCGAUACCAUUUGCAAGGUGGGGACUGGACAUCGUAGGACCAUUCCCGCCUUCAACAUCCCAAGCUCAAUUCAUUUUCGUGGCAGUUGAUUACUUCACAAAAUGGGUUGAGGCUCAGGCUGUAGCAAAGAUCACUCAAGAUGCGGCAGUCAAAUUCGUGUAUCGCUCCAUAGUAUGCCGAUUCGGAGUUCCCCAACACAUUGUCAUAGACAAUGGUACCCAAUUCACAGGGGGGAAGAUUUCGAGAAUGUGCGAAGACCUAAGUACAAAACUCCACUUUACUUCCGUUUACCGACCACAGGCAAACGGACAAGUGGAGGUGACCAACAAGGCCAUCGUACAAGGGCUCAAAAAGAAAAUCGAAUCGGCAAAAGGGGGCGGAUAAGUUGUGCGAAAUACUAUGGGCAUAUCGCACAAUUAGUAAAAAUCCCACAGGAAACACCCCCUUCUCUAUGACAUAUGGAGUAGAGGUUGUCGUACCAAUCGAGAUGAGUAUACUAACGUACAGGAUCUCGAAGUACGACGAGCAAAACAAUGACCAAAACCUAGCUACAGAGUUAGAGUUGAGGGAUGAAACCCGCGACGAGGCAGACCUGCGUAAUGAAUUGUACAAGGCCAGCGUAUCAUUUUGUCGCUCCGGCCUUAAUAGAUCAAAAUUGUUUUUUCGUUAUGGCCUUAACAAUUUAACGUCAUCUUGUCUCUAUGGCCUCGAUGAAAGUUCAGGUCACUCUGUCGCUUCGGCCAGAGGUGAACUACAAGGGUAUAAGUCACAGGAAUACACAUAAAACCCUAGGAUCCUUUACAUCACUCAUAAAUUAGGGUUUCCGAACUAGUCUAUUUUGCCGCUUUGGCCUCCAUAGACUAGAAAUCGUUUUGUCGCUACGGCCAUAAAGAUCCAACCUCAUCUUGUCGCUAUGGCCUCGAUGAAGGUAAACAAUCACUCCGUCGCUACGGCCGGAGAAAAACUACAACUCUAGAGUCUUAAGGUUCAUCGUAUUCUUUUUGUUAUCUUUCGAUAUGUUUGUUAUCUUUUGAAUUUGUUAAUCGAUAUUGCGAGUUACUAUUAGUUGUGAAGUUUAAUUUAUUUUUGCGAACUUAACCGUAGACUGAGCUACGAUUCGUACGACCAAGUCUACGCCCAGAGUGGCUAGCGAUAGGGUUAGUCUAAUUUACGUCCAGAGCGGCUAAAUUACGACUCGCGAAUCUAGUUUCGGAUCUUAGUUACAACUCAAAAGAAUAAAGUAAAUGAACAAUUAAAUAGAAAAGGCUAAGACGAUUAAUUCAUUAAAAAGAAGUUCAAAGAUUAAAAAAAGAUAACAAUCACAAUUGUACAUAAAACUAAGGACUUAGAAGAUCUAAUCUUGGGCAGCUUCGUCCUUCAUUCUGUCCAAGGCCUCUUUGUUCUUCUCAAGCUCCUCAGGAUUCUGCUCUACCCACGCCAUUAUAUCCGUGAUGUAGUCAGGAGGUAGAGCAGGAAACACAGAAGGGCCAAAGAAGAUGAGCUCUUGAAGCUGGUCGGAUUGAUAGCGCACAUCCAAAUCCAAUCCUGCAGCUUUUCCAACGAUUGCGGUAUUAUCAUCCUUAAGAGCUAGAAUCUCUUCUUCCGCACUCGCCAGCUCACUCUUCAGCCCAGUCGUUUCACUUUGAUGUUGGGCAGCUUGUUUCUUCAGAUCCGCUAUGGUAGCCUCAAGCGAGGCUACGUGCCCUCUCUCGCAAGCUAGCUGGCUCUUCAAAUCUUCAACCUCUUAAGCACGGCCAGCAGUAGCAGCUUUCAGAUCUUUGCGAAGUGCCAAGAUCUUUGCGACAUAAUCAUCAAUUUCCUUCUGCUUGGACUCAAUAGUUUUGUCCUUCUUGGGAAGAAUGUUGUCGCGAAGAUUCUCCAUUCUGGACUUCACAUUCCUCAGUUUAUCCAAGGCUUUCUCGCUCUCCUUGAAUUUCGUGUCGAGCUGGUUGUAUCGUUCUUGAAUCUUUUCGACGUCAUGGAUCGAGUCACCUUGGUAACAAGCAUGUGCCAUAUAACAAGCGACAUUCAUAUGCUUCAGAAGCUCAAUAAUAAAUAUAUGCGUUUACGGACUAAUCUAGUUGUUUUGCAGAGUGUUUUCCUUUUUUGCAGGUAACGAUUCUGUAGUCCGGGUUAGGAUCGGAUUCUGAUAGUGAAUCUGUAGCCUCGACCGGAAUCAGAUUCUAAUAGGGAAUCAGAAGGUUCUGUAUCCGAGGCGAGAAUCGGAUCCUGAUAGUGGAUCUGUAGGCUUGGUCAGAAUCAGACUCUGAUAGUGAGUCGGUCAGCUUCGACGCUUCGACCUUAGUAGACCAGAGGUCAUUUUGACGCUUCGGCCUUAAUGAUCUCGAGGGGGGAGUAUCACAAGCUCUUCCCGACACUUUUGUUGCUUCGGCCAGAAGUCGUCGAACUUGGGGGGGAGUAUCAUAAGCUCUUCCCGACACUUCUGUCGCUUCGGCCAGAAGCUGUCACAUUAUGAGCAUGAUAGAUCUGUUGCUCCGGCCAGAUCAAUCAAGGAUUUAUUGAACAUAGGGAGGAGCAGCCCCGCACGGCAAGGUCAGUAAAUCAAUAAAUAUAUCCUUUAGACUGAUACAGUUGUUUUGCAGGUUAUUUUUGUUUUGCAGGAAUGAUCCUGUCGCUUUGGCCAGGAUCCACGCAUUCUGUCGCUUCGGCCAGAAUCAGACUCUGAUAACGAGUCGGUCCAUUUUGUCGCUUUGGCCUUAAUGGACCAAGAAUUAUUUUGUCGCUUUGGCCUCAAUAAUUCUUCUAUCUUGUCGCUUUGGCCUUGAUAGACUUGGAGAUCAUUUUGACGCUUUGACCUUAAUGAUCUCGACCCACUUUGUCGCUUCGGUCUUGGUGGGGUAACCGUCGUUGCGGACAUAAGUCGCUCUUGAUAGUGAACUAGAUCCUGUCGCUUUGGCCAGGAUCCAUGCAACGUGUAUACGUCAAGAGCCCAAGGCAACACUUGGGAGUGCCGACUCCAAAGGUGUAUCGCCGAUUCCGGCCAGGGGACUCGGGUCUGGUAGACCGAGAACUGGGCCUCAAAGGAAUCGGCGACUCCACCUCUGGAUCGGCGACUCCCACACCUGAGUCGCCGACUCCCAACCGUUACGCGGGCGGGCCCACACCAUUAUGGCACCCUUCAAUAGGAUACCAUAAUGGGGUGGGCCCCACUUAAUUGAAUGGAAACGCCUCUAGGACCCUAUAAAAGGGGUCCUAGGGGUGUCCUCCAUCCAUAUCUUCUUCACUUGACUCACACUCCACACUAGAGCAUCCAGGAGCCCGAAUCGCCUACUCCCAAGUGAGUCGCCGAUUCCCCUCCUCUUCUGCAGGUGUUUGACGUAGAGCGCGCGUCGUGGACUCCACAGCCUCCGGCCCAUCUCGCCACCCCGCGAGCCCACUGGUAGUAGAUUCCGUGCUUCAUCAGACUAUAAACACGUAGUUCCGUUGGCUUGGAACUAGAUUCUGUCGCUUCGGCCAGAAUCAAUCCAUUUUGUCGCUUUGGCCUUAAUGGAUACGGAAUCAUUGCGUCGCUGUGGCCGCAAUGAUUCGAUCUCAUCGCUUUGGCCUUGAUGCGGAUCCCACACACAACCUUGCUUGGGGGGGAUACUGGUGAUACACGCAUAUUUCUUGUGCUCUCUUCAGGGGGAAGUACUGGUGAGACAUGCCUGAUUACGACAAUCACUCCCAGCAACGCCCUUUAAUGAGGACUAGGGUUCCGUCGUUUUACGUCGGACCCCCGGAAGGCUCCCACGGUGCGAAACAAGUUCAUCGUCAAACCACCGAGUUAACCCGUAAAUCGCCGAUUGGACUACCAAAUCACCGACUCUAGAGUCAAAUCGCCGAGUUAGGGCCCAGAUCGGCAGUGAUGAAGCACGAAAUCUGCUACCAGUAGGCUCGCGGGGUUGCGAGGAGGACCGGAGGCUUUGGAGUCCACGACGCACGCUCUACGUCAAUGUACCUGCAGAAGAGGAGGGGAAUCGGCGACUCACGUGGGAGUAGGCGAUUCGGGCUCCUUAAUUGGUUUGCUCUGGUUGGUGUGUGCCAAGUGUGAAUGACCUGAGGGUAGAGGUCCCCCAAGGACCCCUUUUAUAGGGUCCUGGGGGACGUUUCCCCAUUCAUUAGCGUGGGGCCCACCCCAUUAAGGUAUCCUAUUAAGGAGUGCCUUAAUGAUGUGGGCCCGCUCAAGUAACGGCUGGGAGUCGGCGAUUCAGGUGUGGGAGUCGCCGAUCCAGAGGUUCAAUCGCCGACUCCCCAUGAGCCUAGUGGCAGCCUACCAGAACUGUCCACGAGGCCUAGAGUCAGCGAUUCAUCCCUGGAGUCGGCGACUUGGUAGUCCCAAUCGGCGACUCCCAGGUGCUGCCUUGAGUACUUGACGUAGACACUCCUUCCGAAUUCGUGGAACUCUCCGGGGGUCCGGCAUAAAGCGACGGAACCCUAGUUCUUGUCGAAGGGCGUUGCUGGGAGUGACUGACGUGUUCAGGCAUGUCUCACCAGUACUCCCCCCUGAAGAGAGCAUGGCAAAACACCUGUGUAGCCUCAGUCUCCCCCCCCCCCGAGCAAGGUAGUACGUGUAGUCCAUGCACUAUUAGAUGGACUGAUUCACUAUCAGAAUCUAGUCAUUGUGCUCACUGCGACACUAAUGACUCCGCGUGGUCCAUGCACUAUCAGAUGGACUGAUUCACUAUCAGAAUCUAGUUCCAGGCCAACGGAACUACAUGUUUAUAGUCCUACUCUGAUCAAGAGAGACUUUUGCUGUGUGGAUUCUGGCCGAAGCAACAGAAUGCGUGGAUUCACUAUUAGAAUCUGAUUCUGGCCGAAGCAACAGAAUGCGUGGAUUCGUUAUCCGAAUCGGGUUCUGGCCGAAGCGACAAAAGCGACAACAUAAUUCUUAGUCUGAUUCUGGCCGAAGCGACAGAAUCAUGCCUGCAAAACAAAAAACAACCUGCAAAACAACUAUAUCAGUCUAAAGGAUAUAUUUAUUGAUUUACUGACCUUGCCGUACGGAGCUGCCUCUCAUACUGCUCCUCCUUACGCUCAAUAAAUCCUUGAUUGAUAUGUCCGAAGCGACAGAUCUAUCAUGCUCAAAAUAGAACUUACCGUGUGAUCUACCUUUCGUGAUGUCCCUCCUUUGCUCAAUAAAUCCUUGAUUGAUCUGUCCGAAGCGACAGAUCUAUCAUGCUCAAAAACUGUGACAGCUUCUGGCCGAAGCGACAGAAGUGCCGACUCACUAUUAGAGUCUGAUUCUGACCAAGGCUACAGAUCCACUAUCAGAAUCCGAUUCUCGCCUCGGAUACAGAACCUGCUGACUCACUAUCAGAGUCUGACUCACUAUCAGAGUCUGGUUCACUAUUAGAACCUUUCCUGCAAACAAGAAAACAUCCUUUCGUGUGUCCCUCCUUUGCUCAAAUUUGUCCUCGGUAAAUCUGGCCGAAGCGACNNNNNNNNNNNNNNNNNNNNNNNNNNNNNNNNNNNNNNNNNNNNNNNNNNNNNNNNNNNNNNNNNNNNNNNNNNNNNNNNNNNNNNNNNNNNNNNNNNNNUGUGAUACUCCCCCCGAAAUGUGACGACUUCCAUCCUAUAGACAGAAGUGCCGGGAGAGCUUGUGAUACUCCCCCUCGAAAUGUGACGACUUCCAUCCUAUAGACAGAAGUGUCGGGAGAGCUUGUGAAACUCCCCCUCGAAUUGUGACGACUUCCAUCCUAUAGACAGAAGUGUCGGGAGAGAUUGUGAAACUCCCCCUCGAAAUGUGACGACUUCCAUCCUAUAGACAGAAGUGUCCGGAGAGCUUGUGACACUCCCCCUCGAUAUGUGACGACUUCCAUCCUAUAGACAGAAGUGUCGGGAGAGCUUGUGAUACUCCCCCCUGAAAAUUUGACAACUUCUGGUCAAAGUGACGGAAGUGUCGGGAGAGUUUGUGAUACUCCCCCCUGAAAACUUGCACUUGGGGCAGUUUUAGUGUUAUUUUACCCGGAAUCGGCGACUAGAGUUUGUGAUACUCCUAAGUCGGCGAUACCUAUGGUUUGGGUAACUGUAGGGGGUAUUCUUGUUUUUUACCCUUGUGAGUCGGCGACUCCCUCUGUGAGUCGGCGACUCCUAGUGUAACCGUCGGAUUUUUUCGGGAGAUCCUUGGAAUAUUUGGGUGAUAUACGGAGAAUAUAUGCAAAAUCUCCAAAUAAGGAAAGUUUCUCACAAUGCUGUGAGUUUUUGCCCGGAGUCGGCGACUGCCCUGUGGAGUCGGCGACUUGGCGUGAUUUGGGGGAUUUGGAGAUCGAAUCUUGAUCUCAAAUUUCGUAAAUUUUGGAUUUUCUGGGGGGGUUUUGCAAUUUUUCCAAGGCCUAUAAAUAGUGGAGAGGUUUUCCCAAAAACCCUACAACACCUUUUGCCACUUCAAUCGCCUAAACCCCCAGAUUUUUCGAUCGCCGAUUCCCUAGUUUUUCACCUUCGAAUCGUUGAUUGAAACCAUGUCUACCCCCGAUUCCCCUUUGUCCAAAGAUGAAACGUCAGCUUUCAUAGCUGAAAUGAUAACCCCUCUUGUGGUUGGGUUCACUUGUACCUAUCAACUACCUAGGACUCUGCUUUUAGACCCUAACACGUGGUUGAGCUCUGGCCAUGAUGACCGAGCAACUUUUUGGACCCAUAUCUAGGCUGAAGGGGCCAGAUUGGGCUGAAAUUUUGAUCUAUUAAGGCAAUAUCGACAAAAUAGAUUCAUAAUGUGGGGUGCUAGCUAGAGUCGUAGGUAGAUGAUAAAUUUAAAUUUUAUUAAAAGAUGCAAAUUACAACAGUAAGAUUUGUAAUUUUUAAACUAACACAUAGACUAAGAGGCUCUAGCGCGCUUAAUACUAAGCGCGAUGUUGAUGUGCGUUGUCCGUGUGCCAGAUGCAAGGACUUUUGGGUGACAACAUAUUCCUAUUCCUCUUUGUUAUGCUAGCCUUCCUGUUGGUCUACCACCAAAUAGCAUAUGGAUGGUUUUCCGUGGGUGGUCCUCGCUAUUGUCACUGUCUGGUGAGGGAGAGCGCGGGCGCUUCCCAUUCACGUCAGACUUGCAAUUGUUUCGAUCCCGGGAUCCUUUGACCAGGCUGUCAAGUUCACCGUUCGAAAUUAAUUGCUCGACAUAAAGCGAGAAUUCCUUGCAAUAGUCUAUCAGAUGGCCGUGGUCCUUGUGGAAUUCACAGAAUUUUCCACUUUUCUGGCGGCGAUCCUUGGUUGCAGGGUCCAUGGAGCGAGGAGCGGGCAGAUCCGCUCUGUUCCUCAGUUUUUCAAACAGCUCACCUUUGCUGAUGGUUAGUGGGGUCCGGUUCCUCCAAGGUUGAGGUGGACCCCUUGGCCAUCGUUUGACGGAUGUUUGAUACACUUUGUUAUCAUGUUUAGGCUUCCAAUCCUUUCUGAAGGAAUCAGCCGCAUUGCUAGUGUAUCUGUUCGAGGAGUCAUUGUAGCUUUUUCUCUCGAACUUUUGUUUUUUGAAGCUAGUGUUCUCGAGUUCCACUAGCUUGUUUUCAUUCUGCUCUUCCACCUCAAUGAAUGACUGAGCUCGUUGGAAGAGGUCGGGUAAGGUCUCCACUUUGUGGAGCGUGAGAUUCAGGGCCAGAGGGGAGUAGGGUACCAGCCCGUUUGUGUACCCCGCAAUGGCCAAACUUGGGAUUAAGUCACUCACUUCUGUCAUCAUUGAAGUGAACUUAAUCGUGUAAUCCCUUAAAGACAGUUUGUCCUGUCGUAGCGCCAGUAGUGCAUUGGCGUUGUGUUUGAUCCUGAUCAUCCCCACGUGUUGGGCGAUGAAUUUGGAUGCGAGGUCUGCAAAGCUUGAAACUGAUCCGGCUGGUAGACCAGAAAACCAUCGAUAGACAUUGCCCUUAAGAGUGCCGGGGAAUGCUCGACACAGCAGUGCGUUAUCAGUGGUUUGCGGUUCCAGAACGCUGAGGUAGAGGUUGACGUAAUCUUGUGGAUCACUCGAACCAUCGUACGACUCUAUUCUGGGUACCCGCCAGGUUGGUGGAAAGGCCACCUUCAAAAGGUCCUCUUGGAAAGGGGCACUUUUGACUCUUAAGAACUCGAUCGGAUUGCUGAUGACUAGAGUGUCAGCCAGCUUCCGACGGAGGUCCUCUAUGAAUCGUGGUGUAAGAGUCCUAUCAGUGCGACUCUUACUGGGUCCAGCUCUUGAUUUUUCUGGCUCUGGACCUUUCUUUUUCUCCGUAGUUGGAGAAUUGUGAGAAGCUGAUUCACACGCUCUCUUGCGGGUGAUGGUUCUCUGACUCCUUGCUUUUUCAAGGUUGCUAACUCUUCUUUCAAUGUUGUCCAUGAAGUUAACCAACCUUGCUUCUAGAUUAGGAGAGAUGGAUGUCCGAGGGGGCAGAUCAGUUUGGGCAUCCUCGAACCUUUCAACUUGCAUGUUUGGUUGAGGAUGCUCAACUUGUGCCCCAUCGGGUACCACUGAGGAUUUACCCUUGUUUCUCAGAUGGUAAUCGUGGUUUUGCCUUUCAGAUGUCAUAGAUGACAAAAGCGAAUUCCAACCGGAGCGUAGGUAUUAAUUGGACUAACUCAAAAGAAACCCAGUGGAGUCGGCGACUCAGCAGGUGGAGUCGGCGACUGGCCUUAGGUUUUCUUGACUUCCGAGCUGAGCAGAGGCUCGAGAAAAAACCAAGUGGAGUCGGUGAUUCACUAUGGGAGUCGGCGAUUCACAAAGGUGGAAUCGGCGACAGACACUAGUGGAAUCGGUGACUGCUUUUAGGUAGUUUUCCUUCGAGUCUGGCCGUGGACAGCACUCUUAGCUAGCAGAAUAACCCGCAAUCGGCGAUUCACUAGGUGGAAUCGGCGGUUGCCUGUGUGAAUCGGAGAUUCCUUGACACAAAGUCAACGACUCACCCUAAGGGAAUCGAGCUGAUCUUUGCGAAGAAAAUUUCGCGAUUACGACGGGAUAUCGUAGUUCGAUAGUCCCACAGACGGCGCCAGCUGAUGAAGCACGAAAUCUGCUACCAGUAGGCUCGCGGGGUUGCGAGGAGGGCCGGAGGCUUUGGAUUCCACGACGCACGCUCUACGUCAAUGUACCUGCAGAAGAGGAGGGGAAUCGGCGACUCACGUGGGAGUAGGCGAUUCGGGCUCUUUAGUUUGCUCUGGUUGGUGUGUGUCAAGUGUGAAUGACCUGAGGGUAGAGGUCCCCCAAGGACCCCUUUUAUAGGGUCCUGGGGGACGUUUCCCCAUUCAUUAGCGUGGGGCCCACCCCAUUAAGGUAUCCUAUUAAGGAGUGCCUUAAUGACGUGGGCCCGCUCAAGUAACGACUGGGAGUCGGCGAUUCAGGUGUGGGAAUCGCCGAUCCAGAGGUUCAAUCGCCGACUCCCCAUGAGCCUAGUGGCAACCUACCAGAACUGUCCACGAGGCCUAGAGUCAGCGAUUCACCUCUGGAGUCGGCGACUUGGUAGUCCCAAUCGGCGACUCCCAGGUGCUGCCUUGAGUACUUGACGUAGACACUCCUUCCGAAUUCGUGGAACUCUCCGGGGGUCCGGCAUAAAGCGACGGAACCCUAGUUCUUGUCGAAGGGCGUUGCUGGGAGUGACUGACGUGUUCAGGCAUGUCUCACCAAUAGUACUAAAAGACGUAUCCCAAGAUAUCUAAUACGCAAAGGAGGGGGAGUACUGGUGAUAUAGUAUCCCGAACCCGGUCAUAACUUACUAACAAUUAGAAGUCCGGAUAGCCUAAGAUGAGUUGAGGUACCUAUUCUAGGGUUGGGGAGGUCCCAAGUCGAAUCCUAGGAAGAUCGACUUUCCUGAGGAUCGACUUCCCUGGGAUCGACUUCUGAAUAAAGUCGAUCACCAGGAAAGUCGAUCCCCUGAAAGUCGAUCUCUAGAAAGUCGACCUUGGGCCCCGAUCUGAUCAGUUAGGCAGUUAGGUAGUUACUGCCCAAAUGACCAGAUUACCCCCAUAAGAAUCCCUAUAAAUAGGAGGCAUCCCCCACUCAUUAAAGGCAGGUCAUUUGGAGUGGAAGAAGUCCUAGCGAAGCAGAGCUCUGCGCACUUGAGUUCCGGUCCGAUUUCCCGCGGAGUUCCCCGCUUGGCGCUUGCUUGCGCGUCUUGGAGUUCUGGUCGGGUUUCACCCCAUCAUUAUCUAUUAUCUAAUAAAAAACUAAACAAUACUUAAUUAAAAAGAAUCCCUCUUCUAGUUAUCUGGUCAAAAAUAGAGGUUGACUACUUUCCUCAGAUCCCUCAUCCAAUUAUCUGGUCAACUCUCUGAGGUUAAAUUUAUCAGUUAAAUUUCUAUCCAGUCAUCUGGUCAAUCUUCAUUUAUCAAUUAUAUCUUCAGUUAUCUGUUCAACUUAUUCAACUCAUAAAUAUUACUGUUGUUCAACCCUUUUUUUAUUUAAGUGUUUACAGGUCAUUCCGCAUUUAACCUAUGAGAAUCGAAAAGAGACUGUUAACCCCCCUUAUAGUCUCGAAUCACGAUCCGACACAAAUACCUUUUUCCAUCCGUAGAAGAUACAAGAAUAAAAUUUUAUGUGAUGUGGUUAACAUGGAUGCAGCCCAUAUACUAUUGAGAAGACCAUUGCAGUAUGAUAUAAGUGCACACUACAAUGGCAGAACCAAUCAAUAUAUAGUUAAAGUAGAUGAUCUGAAAGUAGCUUUGCUUCCACUCCCACCUGAGGGAAACACAUCUGAGAAGCGUAACUUAUUGAUUUCUGCCAAAAAAGAAUUUAAAACAUUAUUAAGUUUUAAACGGGAAGGAUUAGCAGUAAUUAUGAAGGAGGUGACUACAUCAACUAAAGUCUGCAUUCCAACAUCAGUGGCAGAAUUAUUAAGAGUAUUUCCUAUAGUCAUAGAGGAAAAAAAACAGAACUACCCCCCCCCACAGACUAAUAGAUCAUAGAAUUGAUCUAACACCUUGGUGAGACAUGCCUGAUUACACCAGUCACUACCCAUCAACGCCUCUCAACAAGGACUAGGGCUCCGUCGCUAUGGCAGGACCCCCGGAGAGCUCCCACGGUGCGGAACAUCGUUCUUCGUCCAGAUCGCCGAGUUAGCCCGUAAAGUCGUCGACAUACAGGAUAACUCGCCGAGUUAAGACAAGAUCGGCAAUAUGGUAGACUGUACGUCUUGGCCCUAGAAACUCGCCGAGUUAGCCCUUAACUAAGCGACUUCCAUACCUGAAUCGACGACUUACGACCGUUACUCGGCGGCAGCCAACGUCAUAAAUGUUACCAUAUAUGACCAUAGGCGCGAUCUCCGCCGAUGAGUGCGCCCUCCGAGACCCUAUAAAAGGGGUCUCAAGGGGACACUCAAAGGCACGAUUCAAGUUCCACUCUCACACCAGAGCACUACACUACGAAACUCGGCGAGUCUCAUUAGAAUCGCCUAGUUUCACUUGCAGGUAUUUGACAUAGAGCGUGCGUCGUGGACUCCAAAGCCUCCAGCAUCAACCUCGCACCACCGCGAGCCCUGGUAGCAGAUUCAGUGCUUCAUCAGCUGGCGCCGUAUGUGGGACUACCGAACCACCGGUAUCCCGUCGUAAUCGCGAUUUUUUAAAAAUCCGACUCGAGCUCUCCCGAGAGUUCGCCGAGUUUGUCAAAAAAUCGCCGACAUAGAUCGUCCGAUUCUCGGUUAACGUCCGAUUUAGCCUUAAAUCGCCGACUUAUCCUUGAGAAUCGCCCGAUCCGGAAUAUCGUCUGCUAGCUAAGAGUGCUGUCCGCGACCUUGUUCGGGAAAACACCUAACUCGCCGAGUUAACACUUAACUCUCCGACUUAGCUUCUGUUUUUCCAACAGGCUCAGUCAGGUACCUCUCUGCUUUGGUACUUUUUCGCUUCCGCUUUCAUGGCAAUCAUCGAAAAGCAGAAGCACCCUUACGCAACAAGGAGUAAGGGAAAAAUGCCAGCAACUGAGCUGGAACAAGGUGAGCAAUCCUGACCUAAGGGACCCAAUGCUCAACCUGUGGAACAAACUCGGUUCCUCCUCCUGUCGAGGAACACAUUGUGCCCAAGGCUCCACCCACCUUGGAAGAAAGGUUGUUCAGCUUCAUGGGAAACAUCGAAAGAAGGAUGACUGACCUCGAGCAAGCGAGGAGUCAUAGGACCACCACCAUCCGUGAAAGAGCGGAUGAAUCUGGGUCCAUCUAUUCUCCAUCUGGGGAGAAAAAAUAAGAGUCGCUCCGAGAGGACUCUUACUACUCGGUUCGUAGAGGAUCUUCGGCGGAAGUUGGCCACCGACCCAGCUGUCGGCAACCCGCACGAAGUACUGAGGGUUAAAAGUGCUCCUCUUAGCAAGGACCUUUUAAAGGGAGUUUUCCCACCCAACUGGAGGGUACCAAGAAUCGAGGCAUACGACGGUUCAAGUGAUCCAGAAGAUCACGUGAACCUCUACCUCAACGUCUUGGAACCGCAAACCAUCGAUGAUGGGCUGCUGUGUCGGGCAUUCCCCGACACUCUCAAGGGCAGCGCUUAUCGAUGGUUCUCUGGUCUGCCAGCUGGCUCAGUCACCAGCUUUGCAGACCUCUCAUCCAAAUUUAUCGCCCAACACGUGGGGAUGAUAAGGAUAAAACAUAGUGCCAACGCACUCCUGGCAAUGAGAUAAGACAAACUGUCUCUGAGGGAUUACACGGUCAAGUUCACCACUAUGAUGACAGAGGUGAACGACCUAAUCCCGAGUGUGGCCAUAGCGGGAUAUAUUAGAGGAUUAGUCCCCUACUCCCCUCUGGCCCAAAAUCUGACUCUCUACAAUGUGAGUUCUCUGCCCGACCUCUUCCAACGCGCUCAAUUGUACAUUGAAGUGGAAGAGGAGGAUGAGAACAAGCUAGCUGAACUUGGGACUCCUAGCUACAAAAGGCCUAAGUAUGAGAGGAAGGGGUAUAGCGGAAACAACAAUUUCCGCGACACCUCUAACAGGUAUACCAGUAACAAGGCCGAGCCUUCCAAAAAAGAAUGGAAGCCUAGGCAUGAUAACAAGGUAUACCAGACCUCAACCAGCAAACCGCCUAAGGGUGCAAUUCCACUAUGGAAGAAGAAUACCCCGCUUAUAAUAAGCAAGGGCGAGCUGUUUGAGAAACUAAAGGGUCGAGCGGACCUACCUGUCCCUCGCUCUUUAGACCCUGCUGGCAAAGAGGGCCGCACGCAAUCUGGGAAAUUCUGUAAAUUUCACAACGACUGCGGCCACUUAACAGACCACUGUAAGGAGUUCUUGACUUUCGUCGAGCAGCUGAUCUCUAAGGGUGAACUUGGCAACUUUGUCAAGAAAUCUCGAGGACGGGACAACUGCAAAUCUGACCCAAAGGGGAAGCGUCCACGCUCUCCUUCGCCAGAUAGCGACAACAGCGAGAACCGCCAGCGGAAGACCAUCAAUAUGAUAUUUGGUGGUGGAUCCGUUGGCCAGAAUAGGGGGUACUCCCGAAAGGUGCUGAUGUCACAAUCAGCACCUCGAGACAACGGAAAGCGGGUCCGCGAGGAGAAGUCAAUAUACUUCUUCGAAGAGGACCUGGACGAUGUCUUGCAACCUCAUGAGAAUCCACUCGUGAUCCAAGCAGACAUCGGUCCUAAUUCCCGAGUCGAGAGGAUGAUUGUCGACAGCGGCAGCUCUGCGGAUAUCCUCUACAUGGAUACUUUUACUAAGAUGGGCCUUAAAAGGGAGGAACUAUCUCUCUGUAAGGAAGCCAUCUACGGUUUCACUAACAUCGCCGCCCCAGUGGCCGGUGUUAUUGACCUAAAGGUAUCCAUCGGUUCCAAGCGAAGAAGGGUUAGCCGAACAUGCCGCUUCAUAGUAGUGGAGGUAGAAUCUACUUUCCAUGGCAUUUUCGGACGCCCCUUCAUCCACGGAAUCCAAGCAGUCCCGUCUUCUUAUCACCAAUGCAUUCGAUACCCAGUAAACGGGUUCGUUGCAACUGUCAAAGGAUCACAAAAAGAUUCUAGACAAGGGUAUAAGAAGGCAACCCAGCUGACAAAACUCGACAACAUGCUCGUCCACGCCCCGCCUAACACUGAGGAGAGGGAAAAAUUACAACCUGUGGACGAGACCGAGGUAUACCAGCUGGUGGGGGGACAUGUGGCACUAGGGAAGGGGUUACUCCCUGACCUAAAAGCCAAGCUUGUGACUGUCCUGGAGGAGCACCAGGACAGGUUCGUUUGGGAGGGUGAGGCACCGACACAGAUUGCGCGUCAGAUCGUGACGCACAAACUGAAUGUCGACUCAUCCAUUCCAGCUCGACGCCAAAAACGUCGAGUACUCACUUCUGACAGGCGGGAGGCAGCCAAUGAGGAAAUAUCGAAACUCUUGAAUGCAUGGCACAUUCGGGAAGUUCGAUACCCGACUUGGUUGGCCAACCCCGUUCUGGUCAAGAAGCCCAAUGGCAAAUGGCGCAUGUGCAUUGAUUUCACGGAUCUCAAUAAAGCAUGCCCCAAGGACAGUUACCCGUUGCCAUCCAUCGACGAACUGGUCGAUGGAGCAUCCGGUAACGAGCUCCUCUCUAUGAUGGAUGCCCACUCAGGAUACAAUCAAAUCCUGAUGCAUGAACCUGAUGAGGAAAAAACAUCCUUCAUCACGGACUCAGGGACUUUCUGUUAUAGGGUAAUACCAUUCGGCUUAAGGAAUGCUGGGGCUACAUUUCAGCGCUUAAUGGACAAAGUUUUUGCAAACCAGAUCGGGCGCAACAUUUUCGCUUACGUCGAUGACAUCCUAGUCAAGUCGUCAAGCAUGGAAAAGCACCCUGAUGAUCUGAAAGAAACCCUUGAGACAUUAAAGCAAUAUGGAAUGAAACUCAACCCAGCCAAGUGCGCAUUCGGAAUCAAGGAAGGCAAGUUCCUUGGUUUCUAUGUAGGUCAGCACGGGAUCAAACCUAAUUUCGACAAAAUCCAAGCUAUCCUUGAUAUGGAAGCCCCCCGCAUAAUCCGAGAAGUGCAAAGGUUGAACGGUCGAAUCAAUACGCUCAGUCGUUUCAUAUCGCAAACGGCUGACAAGUGCAAACCGUUCUUCCAAUUGCUAAAAACUGCGGCUAAGGGUAGUAUCACUUGGACACCAGAAUGUGAGGAGGCAUUUGCGAAGUUAAAGGCGCACAUGUCCUCACUCCCAAUGCUGACAUCACCCAAAAAGGGAGAGGACCUGUACUUAUACAUAGCGGCCUCAGAAGAGGCCGUGAGUGCAGUCCUCAUCGCGCAGAGGGACAAGGAUCAGGUCCCUAUCUACUACCACUCGAGGCAACUACAAGGUUCUGAACUGCGAUAUUCUCCCAUCGAGAAGAUCGUAUUCGCAGUAAUCCACGCUUGUCGUCAUUUUCGAGCCUACUUCUUAGCGCACACGAUUGUUGUACUAACAUCGUGUCCUCUACGUCGUCUACUUCACAAACCCGACAUCUCGGGAAGGUUAACCAAAUGGGCAAUUGAACUCAGUGAGUUCGACUUGGACUUCCGACCAGCCACUGCCAUCAAGGGGCAAGUUGUAGCGGAUUUCAUUGUCGAACUCACACAGCCCAGUUUGACACAACCUUGGAUUGUGGAAGUAGACGGCUCGAGUUGCAGCACAGGCUCGGGUAUCGGAGUAAAAAUCCAUAGCCCGGAUGGAAAAAACUACGAACACUCGGUCCGAUUUCACUUCCCAGCUUCUAACAACGUCGCGGAAUAUGAAGCGGCCAUACAUGGCCUGAAGCUGCUAAGAACUCUCGGCGUUAAGAAUGUCACGCUCCGCACUGACUCCCAGCUCGUGGCUCGGCAAACCACUGGUGAAUUUGCUUGUAAGGAACCACAAAUAACAAAGUAUGUGGAAGCAAUGGUAGAUCUCACCAAACAAUUCGCCGAGUUCAAAAUCGAGCAAAUCCCUCGAAUUCAAAAUUUACCCGCUGACGCUUUAGCACGUCUAACGUCAGCUUGGGAGGGAGGACAGCGCGAGAUUUUAGUGGACUCUAUACUGCAGCCCACAUGCCAAGUAUUGGCUGUCACUUCCGACCCUCAAGAGGAUUGGAGGCAACCAAUACUGGCGUUCAUCCAGAAUGGAGUGCUUCCUAGCAACAAAGGGGAGGCCAAAAAAUUAAAACACAGAGCAGCAAAAUACUGUGAUAUCGGAGGGGUACUUUACAAAAAGUCCUUCGAUAGUCCUUUGCUACGUUGUUUGGCCCAACCCGAUACUAGUAGGGUUCUCUAGGAAGUACAUGAAGGCUCAUGCGGACUCCAUGAAGGGGGAAGAGCAUUGGCCUUCAAAAUCAUAAGGCUCGGGUACUAUUGGCCCACCUUAAGGUUGGAAGCUCGCACUUACGUCCGCAAGUGCCGAGCAUGUCAGCUGCACAACCCUAUGCAGCAGAAACCAUCAGCGGAAAUGACUCCAAUUCUGAACUCAAUCCCGUUCGCAAGGUGGGGGUUGGACAUCGUAGGACCAUUCCCCCCCUCAACAUCACAGGCUCGAUUCAUCUUUGUAGCAGUAGACUACUUUACAAAGUGGGUCGAGGCUCAGGCUGUGGCGAAAAUCACUCAGGAUACGGCAGUCAAGUUUAUCUACCGCUCCAUAGUCUGUCGAUUCGGCAUUCCCAAGACAUUGUCACGGACAAUGGCUCACAGUUCACGUGGGGAAAAUUUUCAAGAAUGUGCGAGGACCUAAACAUAAAGCUCCACUUCGCCUCCGUUUACCGACCUCAGGCAAACGGGAAAGUGGAGGUCACCAACAAGGCCAUCGUACAGGGAUUGAAAAAGAAAAUCGAAUCAGCCAAAGGGGCCUGGGCGGACAAGUUGUGCGAAAUCUUAUGGGCAUAUCGCACAACGAGUAAAAACCCCACGGGCAACACCCCUUUUGCCAUGACCUAUGGAGUGGAAGCAGUCGUACCAAUCGAGAUGAGUAUACCAACGUAUCGAGUCUCGAAGUACGACCAAGAAAUAAAUGACCAAAACCUAGCCACAGAGCUAGAGCUAAGGGAUGAAACCCGUGACGAGGCGGACCUGCGAAACGAAUCGUACAAGGCUAGCGUAUCAAGAUACCACAAUCGCCAAGUACGCAAAAAAGUUUUCUUGCCAGGAACUCUCGUCACGCGGAAGGCUAGCAUAACAAAAAGGAAUAAGCCAAGAAAUAAACUAUCUUCCAACUUCGAAGGUUCCUACAUCGUUGAGGAGGAGAUAAGGCCAGGAACUUAUCGCCUACGACGGCAGGAUGGAACAAUGGUUCCUAACACCUGGCAUGCAGACAACAUGCAGCAGUACUACGCAUAGUAUUCACAAGCAUCAAGUUUAUUUUCUUUAGCUUUCCUAGUAUGUAUGUUAGCUAGUUAUAAAAUAUAUUUACGCAUUCUAACCCGUAUGGAUACCCUAAAUCUAUUGUGUCGCUUUGGCCUCAGUAGAACAAAGAUCAUUCCGUCGCUACGGCCCUAAUGAUCCUAUCCAAUCUUGUCGCUAAAAAGCCUUGAUAUGGAUCAACAAGUCCCUCCCUCACUAAGAGUCGGACUAAAUCGUCAGGGGUUCAAAUCCAGGGUUAGAAUAAAUAGGUCCAAUUCAGACACGCAUUGCGACCACAACUCUUAUUCUCACGGGCGAAUCAAGAACUAGUGGAUAUCAAACCACUUUCACCUAUCGAACUUAGCUACGAUUCAUACGACCAAACUUACGUCCUAAGUGGCUAAGAAUCUAACUUACGUCCAAAAGCGACUAAGUUACGAUUGGGAAUCUAACCCCGCGAGCCUACUGGUAGCAGAUUUCGUGCUCCAUCACUAACUUACGUCCAAAAGCGACUAAGUUACGAUUUGUGAAUCUAGUUUAAGUUCAACUAAACCUUCAUCCUAAGUGGCUAAGUAAAGUUGAAAGAAUCUAACUUACGUCCAAAAGCGACUAAGUUACGAUUUAUGAUUCUAGUUUAGAUUCAACUACGAUUCGUACGACUAAACCUAUGUCCUAAGAAUCUAACUUACGUCCAGAGCGACUAAGUUACGAUUUAUGAAUCUAGUUUAACUCUAAAACACAUUAGCAAAAAAGUAAUUUCAUUAACACAAAAAUAAAUUACAUAAUCCACUACAAAAUGUUAGAAGGAAAGCUAUUACAUAGUUUCUAAUCUUCUUCUUUCCUCGCGUUGCGAACAUCACUCUUGAUCUUAUCUAAGGCUUCCUUGUGCUCCAGCUGCACUUCGGGAUGUUCUUCCAGCCACGCCAUAAUGUCUGAAAUGUAGUUGGCAGGCAGAGUGGUAAACACGUGAGGUCCGAAAAAGUUCACGUCUUGGAGUUGAUCGGAUUGACCAUCAACUUCGAACUCCAAGUCCUUCACUUUCUCAGAAGAAGCGUCCAGAGCUUCCUUCAUCUUCUUCAACUUCUCCGUGGAUCGAGAGAAGCGAUCUUCCAAAUCUAUCCGAGCGGAAGCGGAAUCAGAUAGUUCAACUUUCAAUUUCUGAAUCUGUGUUUCAGAAAUCAUUGCAUUCCCCACUUCCACAUCAAGCUGCGUCUUCAGCGCAUCAAUUUCUUUUCGAGCAGCAGCGAGAAGCGACUCAUUAUCUUUCAUAGAGUCACAGCUUCGGCGAAGAUCAGAAAUCUCAGAUCGGUGCGCAGCGCACUCUUUGUUCUUCGCCGCCAUCGCUUUCUCGUGCUCAGCAGCUUGUUCCUCCAACUUCUUGUUCCGUUGGAGGGUCUUCCUCAACGACCACACCUCUUUGCAGAUAGCUUGAUACUUGUCAUCAAGCUUGUUGUACUCCUGUUGAGAACGGAGUGUGUCGUUGGCAGAUUGCAUCCCAAUGGUUGCAUUUGAUAGAUACGCGACCUACAAAACAAAACAAUCAAUUAGUAAAAUAAAACAAAUAUAAGUGAAAAGCGAGUGCGAAUCACUUACAGCAGAUAUAGCUUUUCCAAGCUCUUCGCGUAUCCAGUCCCCAGGCUUAGUCUGAAGCAGUUGGGCAGCCUUCCUCCGCACCCCUUCAUCGGCAAACAAGCCCAGAUAGUCAAAUGUGGUGCGGAAGGGGGCGAAUUCAGGUGCAGACCUCGAGCUAGAUCCAGUCUCGAAGGUUCUGCGGGGGCCAGUCUCUUGGGCCUUCCGUUCUCUGAUCACCUUGGUGCCGCGAAGUCUCACGGCCAAGUGUGGAAGCACCGCCUCUCGGUACAGAUGUGCACCCUUCUUCUUCUUGAUUGGAUUUCCAGAAGGGUCCUCUGACCGCAUGUAGUGUAUCACAUCAGAAAAUGUAAAGUCCUCUCGCUGACACAAAGCGAAAGGAACUCCUUGCCCACAUUCGAAGGAAGCGAGAGCAGAAGAGAUCUUCUUCACCCGCUUCAACUCAGCCUUGCUCAGGGCGCAAGGAACAUCCAGGUGUACGCGGCGAGCGUUGGCCCACCUCUCGCGGCUCCCGCGUACAAAUGUAGAUUCAACAAAAAAGAACUCACUCUUCCACUGGGGCCCAUAGUUAGUGGGGAGUUCUAUUAUCAGCUCUCGUCCGCUGAACCGCUUUGCUAGCCCCAAUCGACCAGAUUCGGAAGCGGGCGCCUUCACAAACUUGAAAAACCAAAAGAAUAAGGCGGCGGUACUGGGUAUAUUCAGACUCCAACAGAUGUUGGAGAACCCUCUCAAAUAUACAAAGAAAGCUGCCUGCAUCUGCGACAGCGACACCCCACCAUGCAGCAACACUUCGCUCAUCAGUGGAGGAAUGGGCAGCAUUGAGAAGUGUCUGAAGUAUAGGCGGGGAAUAGCUUGGAACCCAGCUGGAGACAGAUUCGCUGGCUGAUAUUGCGAUCCACAGAAUCGCAGGUGCCCAGAAAUGCGAAUCCCGCGUAGAAUCUCAUGGGCUUCAAGCGCAGAAGUUAUUGAAAAUGGAUGCGCAGUCUCGUUCUGAGGCACGAGAGGCGCAUUGACAGAAACUUCUUCGAAAGACCCCUCGUCAGUAUCACAGAGGGGCAACAUCCUGAUCUCACCACCCGGCAGAGCUUCACAGUGUGCGUAGCCGGUGUGGUUCUCAACUCCCUCGUAAAAUGGGAGGUUUAUAUGGUCUCCAUCCUUGUCCAUUUCCAUAGGAGGAGGAGGAGUGUUCGAUCUAUCAUCGCGGCUUCGGCCCGGGCCGCGUUCAACUGGUAUGUCCUG